AACGAACGCUGGCGGCAUGCCUAACACAUGCAAGUCGAACGAGACCUUCGGGUCUAGUGGCGCACGGGUGCGUAACGCGUGGGAACCUGCCCUUAGGUUCGGAAUAACUCCCCGAAAGGGGUGCUAGUACCGGAUAAUGUCUUCGGACCAAAGAUUUAUCGCCUUUGGAUGGGCCCGCGUUGGAUUAGCUAGUUGGUAGGGUAAAAGCCUACCAAGGCGACGAUCCAUAGCUGGUCUGAGAGGAUGAUCAGCCACACUGGGACUGAGACACGGCCCAGACUCCUACGGGAGGCAGCAGUGGGGAAUAUUGGAACAUGGGCGAAAGCCUGAUCCAGCACUGCCGCGUGAGUGAUGAAGGCCUUAGGGUUGUAAAGCUCUUUUACCCGGGAUGAUAAUGACAGUACCGGGAGAAUAAGCUCCGGCUAACUCCGUG
rnacentral:rRNA from 1 species